rnacentral:rRNA from 2 species
AGAUUUAUCGUGAAGGAUUAGCCCGCGUCUGAUUAGCUAGUUGGAGAGGUAACGGCUCACCAAGGCGACGAUCAGUAGCUGGUCUGAGAGGAUGAUCAGCCACAUUGGGACUGAGACACGGCCCAAACUCCUACGGGAGGCAGCAGUGGGGAAUAUUGGACAAUGGGCGCAAGCCUGAUCCAGCCAUGCCGCGUGAGUGAUGAAGGCCUUCGGGUUGUAAAGCUCUUUUGUCCGGGAAGAUAAUGACUGUACCGGAAGAAUAAGCCCCGGCAAACUUCGUGCCAGCAGCCGCGGUAAUACGAAGGGGGCAGCGUUGUUCGGAAUCACUGGGCGUAAAGCGCACGUAGGCGGCUUGUUAAGUCAGAGGUGAAAUCCUGGAGCUCAACUCCAGAACUGCCUUUGAUACUGGCGAGCUCGAGUAUGACAGAGGUUGGU